GACGAACGCUGGCGGCGUGCUUAACACAUGCAAGUCGAACGGAAAGGCCCUGCUUUUGUGGGGUGCUCGAGUGGCGAACGGGUGAGUAACACGUGAGUAACCUGCCCUUGACUUUGGGAUAACUUCAGGAAACUGGGGCUACUACCGGAUCGGAGCUCCUGCUGCAUGGUGGGGGUUGGAAAGUUUCGGCGGUUGGGGAUGGACUCGCGGCUUAUCAGCUUGUUGGUGGGGUAGUGGCUUACCAAGGCUUUGACGGGUAGCCGGCCUGAGAGGGUGACCGGCCACAUUGGGACUGAGAUACGGCCCAGAGUCCUACGGGAGGCAGCAGUGGGGAAUAUUGCACAAUGGGCGGAAGCCUGAUGCAGCAACGCCGCGUGCGGGAUGACGGCCUUCGGGUUGUAAACCGCUUUCGCCUGUGACGAAGCGUGAGUGACGGUAAUAGGUAAAGAAGCACCGGCUAACUACGUG
rnacentral:rRNA from 1 species